rnacentral:rRNA from 1 species
UUGGGAAUCUUGCACAAUGGGGGAAACCCUGAUGCAGCGACGCCGCGUGGAGGAUGAAGGGUCUAGGCCUGUAAACUCCUUUUGACAGGAAAGACUUAGGACGGUACCUGUCGAAUAAGGACCGGCUAACUACGUGCCAGCAGCCGCGGUAAGACGUAGGGUCCAAGCGUUGUCCGGAUUUACUGGGCGUAAAGAGCGCGUAGGCGGUCUGUUAAGUGUAGAGUGAAAUCUCCAGGGCUCAACCCGGAAACUGCUCUGCAUACUGGCAGACUUGAGGGAUGCAGAGGUGAAUGGAAUUCCUGGUGUAGCGGUGAAAUGCGUUGAUAUCAGGAGGAACACCCAUGGCGAAGGCAGUUCACUGGGCAUCAUCUGACGCUGAGGCGCGAAAGCGUGGGUAGCAAACAG